rnacentral:rRNA from 1 species
AUUGAACGCUGGCGGCAGGCCUAACACAUGCAAGUCGAACGGUAGCACAGAGAGCUUGCUCUCGGGUGACGAGUGGCGGACGGGUGAGUAACGUCUGGGAAACUGCCCGAUGGAGGGGGAUAACUACUGGAAACGGUAGCUAAUACCGCAUAACGUCGCAAGACCAAAGUGGGGGACCUUCGGGCCUCACACCAUCGGAUGUGCCCAGAUGGGAUUAGCUAGUAGGUGGGGUAAUGGCUCACCAAGGCGACGAUCCCUAGAUGGUCUGAGAGGAUGACCAGCGACACUGGAACUGAUACACGGUCCAGACUCCUACGGGAGGCAGCAGUGGGGAAUAUUGCACAAUGGGCGCAAGGCUGAUGCAGCCAUGCCGCGUGUAUGAAGAAGGCCUUCGGGUUGUAAAGUACUUUCAGCGGGGAGGAAGGCGGUGAAGUUAAUAGCUUCACCGAUUGACGUUACCCGCAGAAGAAGCACCGGCUAACUCCAUGCCAGCCGCCGCCGUAA